rnacentral:rRNA from 1 species
AUGCAGGACCCCUGCCCCGGCACCACCAAGUUCAGCAGGACGACUUCUAACGGCAGGUCCACUGGGUCGGUUUGCUUAACUGCCACUCUGAGUCCCUGGGCGGUCUCCACGCUUCUUACCAUCGCCACGGCUGUAAACAUAUCUUCCUUGAGGUUCAGGUCAUCCACGUCCCGGAUGAACUCCAUGGUGGAGACGUUGAUCCCAGCCCCCUGCCAAAACAAAAACAAGGCAACGCGCAGGUCAGCCCUUACAGUCGGGUCGAUCAACUUACGUAAAGGCGGCCAAUACGGUCGGCUCGAUCGCCCUCGCCAGAACCGGGGCGAUGACGACGAAGAGGAUGAGCAGGAGGCGGCUAUCACAUGGUGA